rnacentral:rRNA from 1 species
ACGAACGCUGGCGGCGUGCUUAACACAUGCAAGUCGAGCGGUAAGGCCCUUUCGGGGGUACGACGAGCGGCGAACGGGUGAGUAACACGUGGGUGACCUGCCCUCAGCUCUGGGAUAAGCCUGGGAAACCGGGUCUAAUACCGGAUAUGACUCCAUGACGCAUGUUGUGGGGUGGAAAGCCUUGUGCGGCUGAGGAUGGGCCCGCGGCCUAUCAGCUUGUUGGUGGGGUGAUGGCCUACCAAGGCGACGACGGGUAGCCGGCCUGAGAGGGCGGCCGGCCACACUGGGACUGAGACACGGCCCAGACUCCUACGGGAGGCAGCAGUAGGGAAUCUUGCGCAAUGGGCGAAAGCCUGACGCAGCGACGCCGCGUGAGGGAUGACGGCCUGGUGUAACU